rnacentral:lncRNA from 1 species
AUUUUUAUACAUUCAGUCUCGCACAACAUACGAGUCAUCGUUGCUCGGGUCUUCAACUAGUUAUUAAUAAAUUUGAUAGUUUAGAGUUUUGUAUGGUCAGUUUUUUUUUAUUUUAAAAUAAAAUUAUUUAUCAUGAUAACAUGUAUGAUAUUAUUUUGAUACUAUAUUUGGAGUAGAAUGGUUGUUUUCCAGCGUGGAAGGGCUACAUAUUGAUAGGGUUUGUUCUCACUCAAAUGACCAAA